CAGCACAGAACAAUAACUGGGCGGCAAAACAAUUUUUGGGCGGCCAGAGCUGGAUUCAAUUUUUGAAUCUGUUUAUUCAUCCCCCAUCCCAAGACACUUUUUCUGUUCCUAUUGUUUCUUCUUCCAAGAGAAACCCUAAAACACAAAUCCUCCCAACCAUCUUCUCCACCGGUUCUGUUCCUAUCCUUUCUUGAGAAACCCUAAAACACAAACCCUCGCAUCCAUCUUCUCCACCGAUGACACCACCAGCGACCGUCGAAACCAUUUUCUUCUCUUAAAGAGCCGAUGAUCUUGGACAAAAUCAUGGCUGGUUCUCCUUAACAUACCCUCUGUUAGUCUUUACUGAUGCCAGAGAGUAGUCCAUUGAUGAUGAUGAGUUCUUCGCUGCUUCAAUGAAGAGUUGUCGUGUUAUAUGGCUGCUGAUGUUGGUGAUGGUUAGUAAGACCUGUCUGUCAGAACCCUCACCCGCACCUCCGACGGCAAACGACACGAGAUGGGAACUACUUGAAGCCGCCUCUAACCGGAUACACAUUGAGGAUGGGUCUAUGACAAGUAUACCACCAGGAGAGCAUCAUUACUACUUGUGGAAUCCUG